rnacentral:lncRNA from 1 species
GGACAACAAAACCUAGCUAAGAAGAAAACUUGUGGAAACAAGGUCUGUCCGAGAGAGAAGCAACCUUGAGAUUUAACCCACUUAGUAUUAAGUACUUCCACAGGUUCCCUGCUCUGUAUAGUCUGUUCCCUGGCUUCUCUACCUCUGUCCUGCCUAGCUCCUUCCCCCUGAGCUGGCAGCAGACAGCUUUCUGCUACCCAAAUUGAUGCAGCCUCCAGGAUGGGAUGAAGUGCUCUGCAGACAGGUGCCAUUUAUUCAGUUCUUUCAAGGCUGAUUUGAAAUGCCCACAAGUAAAGGUAAUAAAAUUGGGAAAGUAAUUGUGAGAAGAUGGAGCAACAUCAGCCCGGUACUCUUAAGGCAGAGCUUCUUCUGAACUGUUUGUGUAAUGUUUCCAACCAGUCACGCCCAGCAGAGAUCACAGCAAAGACAACAAAUGCUGCAAGACUGACAGAAGAAGUGAAGUUAGUCAAGUAGUGACUGUCAGGAAAAACUGAAGUCUACAGAAGAAUGUACAGACACUGAUGCCCAGAAGACUGCUUUGUGCAUGAUGGCAGAGGCUGCUGUUAGAGCAACACCACUUUUUUUGUUAAAGGUAAUUAUGUAUCAGUGAAAAAAAUGACAGUUUUUUUUCUUUUUUUUGUAUUUCACCUAACAAUUACUGCCAUUUUGCAACAGACAAAUACAGCCCCCUGAGUUUAGUUAGUCACUUUGCUUUUUGCAGCCUGGUUAAUUUAACACUCUUGCUUUCUCUUGCAAGCCAACUCUGGCUAAUGUUUUCUUUGAAGUUAAAUUAAAUACUUAGAGAUUUCUGAACCUGUAUAGUUAAUUUAAGUAAACUUACGUGUUUCCAUAUUUCUCCAGUCCUCUCAAUUACAACAGUUUGUGAUUUAUUGACCGGUGAUGUAAUCUUGUAGUCAUCAGACAAGAGACCUAGAAUUGGAUACUGAUUCCUGUACCUGUAUUAAAAGAGUUGCAAUCCUGUAAAAUAUAACACUAAAAUCUGCAUACCUAUAUCCAAAUCAUGAACUUUAUAAUUCUUCUAGUUUAGUUUUUAAUUUAAUUUAGUUAUCAAUCCCCAAAUAUUUUUACUAGUAACUAAAAAACUAAUACUGUCAUUUAAAUAUCAGUUUGACAUACUGGUUACUCUCCAAUUGCUGUUACAAUGCUUAGUAGGAAUAUCUGUACUGAAUCCAUCCUAGAUAGGUUUUCCUAGUUUGACUUUUUCUCCUAAAAGCUGAGUAGAUAGUGUUAAGAAAUUUGAAGGAUGUAAGGACUUAAUUAACAGAAGCUACACAAUGGAAAUCAAAAGAAUGUAUUUUUAGGAAAA